UACGGAGGGUGCAAGCGUUAUCCGGAUUCACUGGGUUUAAAGGGUGCGUAGGUGGGUUGGUAAGUCAGUGGUGAAAUCCCCGAGCUUAACUUGGGAACUGCCAUUGAUACUAUUAAUCUUGAAUACCGUGGAGGUUAGCGGAACAUGUCAUGUAGCGGUGAAAUGCUUAGAUAUGACAUAGAACACCAAUUGCGAAGGCAGCUGGCUACACGAAUAUUGACACUGAUGCACGAAAGCGUGGGGAUCAAACAGG
rnacentral:rRNA from 1 species